rnacentral:lncRNA from 1 species
UCUUCCUCUUUUCACUCCUAUGUCUCUCCUAUACCUUCUCUUUCACCUUUCUUUCUUUUAUUUUUCUCUUUUUCAAAUCUCUAUCCUUUUCUCUUUUUUCUUUUUUAACUAAUUCGGGAAAAUUACACCCGAUCUCACUAAACUAUUAAUAAGUUCAGUAACUUAUUAAAAAGUUACAAAAUGGUCACUGAACUAUUUGGAUGUUUUCAUUUAAGUCACUGAAC